UGGCGGACGGGUGAGUAACGCGUGGGCAACCUGCCCUGUACAGGGGGACAACACUUAGAAAUAGGUGCUAAUACCGCAUAACGGGGGAGCCGCAUGGCACCCCCCUGAAAACUCCGGUGGUACAGGAUGGGCCCGCGUCUGAUUAGCUGGUUGGCAGGGUAACGGCCUACCGAGGCGACGAUCAGUAGCCGGCCUGAGAGGGCGGACGGCCACACUGGGACUGAGACACGGCCCAGACUCCUACGGGAGGCAGCAG
rnacentral:rRNA from 1 species